rnacentral:ncRNA from 2 species
AUAGUUCGUCUUGAUGUGGGUGCCGUGUAAGGCCUAAGAGGGAAUCCCGUUAAAAACGGGAGCGGUCCCGCCGCUGUAACCGGGGACGAACCCCGUAAAAGACCACUGUUCCGGUAAACCGGGAUGGGAAGGCGCGGGGGGUAGGAUGAUCCGGGAGCCAGAAGACCUGCCUACAUCGAUGACCGGUA